UACAGAGGUCUCAAGCGUUGUUCGGAUUCAUUGGGCGUAAAGGGUGCGUAGGCGGCGCGGUAAGUCGGGUGUGAAAUCUCGGAGCUUAACUCCGAAACUGCAUUCGAUACUGCCAUGCUUGAGGACUGGAGAGGAGACUGGAAUUUACGGUGUAGCGGUGAAAUGCGUAGAUAUCGUAAGGAAGACCAGUGGCGAAGGCGGCCAACUGGACGAGUACUGACGCUGAGACACGAAAGCGUGGGGAGCAAACAGG
rnacentral:rRNA from 1 species